AUGCAGGGCCCGCGACGGCGGCCCGAUGGCGAGGCGGCUCCGGCAUACAAGAAAGAAAGUGGAUUUUUCACUAUUGAGGUGAUCCAUGGAGGUUUUUUCUUUGGGAGUGGGCGGAAUAGGUGCUAUCUGAAUGGCAAUAAGGUUUGCUUUGAUUACUGUCAUAAGGACAGUGCCUAUUUCAGAAUGUUUGAAGAAAUAGUUGAGGAAUUGGGUUAUGAAAUCUCAGGUAGAAUUGACAUCUAUUGGUUGCCCCCUGGUUGUCAGCUUAAUGAAGGUGGUGCUAGGCUUUUGGCUGAUGAUACUGAUGUGGAUUGUAUGUAUCAAAAGAUAAAUCUAGGGCACCACUUUCAAAUGAUAUACCUGGAUCAUUUAGAUAGCCACAUUUCUGGAGGAGGAGCAGAAUGGGAUGAUGUUGUGUCUAAUCCAGUAGCACAAAUCCCUCCUGUUUUCAGCCCAAGGAAGAAGGAAAUGAAUGCAAGUGAGAACAAAGAUCCCUGUAAGAGCAAUGUUUCUUGUGGUGUUGUGGAUGAAAGUGUUGAAAUUGAGAGCACUCAGCAGUUCUUUGUGAAGUUGAGACCAAGGGGAAAGAAAACAGAAGAGGAGGAAGAACAAUAUGAAGACUCAGAUUCCUCAGACAGUGAUUAUGUACCUGAGAUUGUGGAUAGUGACUAUGACUUGGAGGAUGGAGAUGAUGAUCUGUUGCAGGAGCAGUUGCAACCAAUGCAUGGCAAGAAAGGGAAGAAGGUGGUUGAGGAUUGCAACUCAGAAGAUGAGGAAUUAAAUGCUCCAGAUUCAGAUGAGGAUGACAUGAUCAAUUUCAAGUCUUUCACAGCAGCAGACAUGCAUGAACCUAAGUUCCAUGCAGGGCAAUUGUUCUCUUUUGUGGAGCUCUUGAGGAAAGCUGUGAGAGAGUAUAGUUGCAAAGAGAAGAAUGGCAAAAUCAGGCUUGCUGCAAAGUGUGAAAAGGGUUGCCCCUGGUAUCUGUAUGCAUCUUGGGAUAAUAGAACAAAUUCUGUAAUGGUGAAAACAUUUAAUGGGGAACAUACUUGUGAGAAAAAGUGGCAAGUUACAGCCUUUACAGCUAGGUACAUUGCUCACAAAUACGUGGACAAAAUCAGGGCAUGUGAGAAAUUGUCAUUGAAGGCUUUUGCAGCUUUUGUGCAAGAUGUUUGGAACAUGACAAUUAAAAGGGGCAAGCUGGGGAGAGCUAGGAAGAUUGCAUAUGAUAUCAUAUGUGGAGAUGAGAUAACACAAUACAACUUGCUGUGGGACUAUGCAAAUGAGCUGAGGAGAUCAAACCCUGGAAGUACUUUCCUUCUUGGACUGUCAGAAGAGGGACAAUUUCAGAAGUGCUACUUUUCUUUUGAUGCAUGCAAGAGGGGGUUCUUAUCUGCUUGUAGGCCAAUCAUUUUCCUUGAUGGUUGCCACUUAAAGACCCAUGGUGCAGAGUGA
rnacentral:rRNA from 1 species